rnacentral:rRNA from 1 species
GAUGAACGCUGGCGGCGUGCUUAACACAUGCAAGUCGAACGGAAAGGCCCUGCUUUUGCGGGGUGCUCGAGUGGCGAACGGGUGAGUAACACAUGAGUAUCCUGCCCUUGACUUUGGGAUAACUUCAGGAGACUGCGGCUAAUACCGGAUAGGAGCUCCUGCUGCAUGGUGGUCAUUGGACAGUUUCGGCUGUUGGGGCUGGACUCGCGGCUUAUCAGCUUGUUGGUGGGGUAGUGGCUUACAAAGGCUUUGACGGGUAGCCGGCCUGGGAGGGUGACCGGCCACAUUGGGACUGAGGGACGGCCCAGACUCCUACGGUGGGCAGCGGGGGGGAGUAUUGCACAAUGGGCGCACGCGUGAGGCGGAGGCGCUGCGUUCGGGAUGACGGCCUUCGGGGUGGGAACAGCUGUCGCCUGUGACGAAGCGGUAGUGACGGUAAUGGGUAAAGAAGCACCGGCUAACUACGUG